AAGGGACACAAAUGGCUCAACCCUGCUACUUGUUUGCAAUAUCAUGCUUUCACAUGGAUCUUCUAAAUGAAGCUGAAGCAACAUUAUUUCCUGCUUACGAGCCUAGUGCUGAGGUACAACUCAUAUGUAUGACUGGUAGGGACCACACAUGCUUCCCUGCCCUGUUUUGCUGUUGGCAGCCUUAUUCUCAUUAUGAGGUCGCAGGAAAAGUAAAACCAAGUCUUCCGGCAAGAAGAAAAAUAUUGGUAUCUUUGAAAUUUCAAAAUAGCGAUUAAAGUUAAAGGUCCCUUUCGGUACCGAUUUGCGAAGUGCGGUUGAAAUUCACAUCAAAACUGAUAUCAACUGAUUUCUUAGCUCCUCAAUCAUGGUAGUGUUAUCAUGCUUUUGUCAACAAUACCGUGCAUCGUCACCCUUGCUAUUUUUUACCCCUGCUAACAUCAGAUAUUUCCUCAUUGUGGUUAUGCUCCAGAUCUUUCCUUACACAGCACAGCUCAGCUAAGCCUUGUUUUGUAGUAAGUUUGGGCUAGGAAGCAGGAAACUUGUGGAUAAUUUCCUUUUCUGACAAUAAGAUUCUGCAGCAGAGAUGUAGCAGCGGAGGAUUUUGGGAAAGGAAUUAAAACUUAUCAGAGUGCCCUACGUAUUGAUGCUAGACAUCGUAACUCCUGGCAUGUGCUUGGGAUGAUUUAUCUCCGGGAACAGAAGUUUGAGUUUCCUGAGCAUGACUUCCAAAUGGAUUUUGAAAUGAGUCCAUUUUCAUCUGUUAAUGUCAUGUCUAGGGACAGGUUUGCAUGCUUUAAUGGUCAAGUCUCUUGGUAUAUUGAUCAUUAUAUUUUGUAGAACAUAACUGUCAAUCAUCUACUGCUGUUCGAAAUUGUUUUCCUAUUAUGUAACAGAAAAAUGAGGAAGCUUUGGAGAUGAUGGAUAGGGCAAUUUUAGCUGAUUUAGGUCUUCCGAUGUAUCAAAUGGCUAAUAUACUUGUGAGCUUGGAAUGUUUUGAUGAAGCUUUUGAAGUUCUAGAA